rnacentral:tRNA from 1 species
UCCUCGAUAGCUCAGUUGGUAGAGCGCCUGACUGUUAAUCAGGUUGUCGCAGGUUCGAUCCCUGCUCGAGGAGCCA